CUGUUUAUCUGUAUGAUCGAAAUUGUUCAUCUAUUAGAUAUUGUCAAGAAAAAUAAAAUUGUUAGAGAUUAUUUGAAUCGGAUACCGUUUGGUGUAUUAUCAAAUGCGAUAGAACUGAAUUGUUUUUUGCGAAAAUAAGUUUGGCCACACUGUAUGAAACCCAUUUUGACAAACGGGGUCGGAAGAAUGCUGUAUAGGAACUGCGACGCGAAUUGGUCAAAUUGCGAUCUCGUUCUGAUAUAUCUCGACGAUCGAAAGGGUCCAUGUUGUAGAGCUCGUCAAGAAAAUAAACCCAAUUGAAGAUCACACCAAUCGAAUGUUGAUUGAUGCAUAAUCGGAGAUGAUUAGAGUGAAUUUUUUUCUGUUAAAAUAGAUUUGGACGCACAGUAUCAAACCCAUUUUAUCGAAGGAUAAAGAGUAAAUUCACUCCGACCGACGAAGGAAACGUCCCCGGCGACGAGAUGGGAAGAUGUAACAAAGGUGAAGGCAAAAAUGAAAGGAAUUGAAGUCAAGAAGGCGCCUGGGUGUAGUUCAAUUGAAGAUGAUGGUCAUGUUCACAGGUUCCUAGUUGGCGAUGUGUCUCAUCGAAAAAUGAAGUCCAUGCCAUGCUGGAUGGCACCACUAAACCGUUGUCAGGCUUAGAAGAUAUUGAAAUGGAAGCAGAAAACAAAGUUGCAGGAAUUUUGUGAUUGGAGCCAUAUUUUGGGAAGCCCGAAUGAUGAUUUUCUAUAUAGUAUUAGCAAAGAAGUUUUUAUUCCAAAAUAUAUGAAUAAAAUUGAGAGUUGGAUA